rfam:Glycine soja cultivar W05 scaffold1357_25, whole genome shotgun sequence.
ACCACCCGUCACACUAUGGGAGCUGGCUAUGCCCGAAGUCGUUACCUUAACGCAAGGAGAGGGGUGCCAAAGGUAGGGCUAGUGACUGGAGUGAAGUCGUAACAAGGUAGUUGUCCUGGAAGGUGCGGUUG